AGACUUAUAGAAAGAGUGAAUCGUUGGUCUUUGGAGCCGAUUUAUGUUUCGUAUGCCAAUAGGAAUCUAUGGAUCUGAUACCGUUGGUCUAUGGAGCCGAUUUAUGCGAUUACAUUU